rnacentral:rRNA from 1 species
UACGUAGGGGGCAAGCGUUGUCCGGAUUUAUUGGGCGUAAAGAGCGUGUAGGCGGCCAUACAGGUCCGUUGUGAAAACUGGAGGCUUAACCUCCAGACGUCGAUGGAAACCGUAUGGCUAGAGUCCGGAAGAGGAGAGUGGAAUUCCUGGUGUAGCGGUGAAAUGCGCAGAUAUCAGGAGGAACACCGGUGGCGAAGGCGGAUCUCUGGGCCGUAACUGACGCUGAGGAGCGAAAGCAUGGGGAGCGAACAGG